UUAUCGUUUAUUUGAUAGUACCUUACUACUUGGAUAACCGUGGUAAUUCUAGAGCUAAUACAUGCUGAAAACCCUGACUUCGGAAAGGGUGUAUUUAUUAGAUAAAAAACCAAUGCCCUUUGGGCUCUUUGGUGAUUCAUGAUAACUUAACGGAUCGCAUGGCCUUGCGCCGGCGACGGUUCAUUCAAAUUUCUGCCCUAUCAACUUUCGAUGGUAAGGUAUUGGCUUACCAUGGUUUCAACGGGUAACGGGGAAUUAGGGUUCGAUUCCGGAGAGGGAGCCUGAGAAACGGCUACCACAUCCAAGGAAGGCAGCAGGCGCGCAAAUUACCCAAUCCCGACACGGGGAGGUAGUGACAAUAAAUACUGAUACAGGGCUCUUUUGGGUCUUGUAAUCGGAAUGAGUACAAUUUAAACCUCUUAACGAGGAACAAUUGGAGGGCAAGUCUGGUGCCAGCAGCCGCGGUAAUUCCAGCUCCAAUAGCGUAUAUUAAAGUUGUUGCAGUUAAAAAGCUCGUAGUUGAAUCUUGGGCCUGGCUGGCCGGUCCGCCUCACCGCGUGUACUGGUCUGGCCGGGCCUUUCCUUCUGGAGAACCUCAUGCCCUUCAGUGGGUGUGUUGGGGAACCAGGACUUUUACUUUGAAAAAAUUAGAGUGUUCAAAGCAGGCCUUUGCUCGAAUACGUUAGCAUGGAAUAAUAGAAUAGGACGUGCGGUCCUAUUUUGUUGGUUUCUAGGACCGCCGUAAUGAUUAAUAGGGAUAGUCGGGGGCAUCAGUAUUCAAUUGUCAGAGGUGAAAUUCUUGGAUUUAUUGAAGACUAACUACUGCGAAAGCAUUUGCCAAGGAUGUUUUCAUUAAUCAGUGAACGAAAGUUAGGGGAUCGAAGACGAUCAGAUACCGUCGUAGUCUUAACCGUAAACUAUGCCGACUAGGGAUC
rnacentral:rRNA from 2 species